UCUUCCUGUUCACGGAGGAGAGCCGCCACCGCCCCUACCCCUUCCAGAGCUCGUGCUCUUCCUCUCUUCCCCGGCCCCCUCGCACCGCUGGCCGUCGGCCCCUUCCCCUUCCCCUCCCCUUCCACCCUAGCCGCCGCCGGCCUCUCCCCUUUCGCCCUAGCCGUCGCCCCCCAUCGCGAGACGGAGAACCAGCCCAUCCCCCUUUCCUCUCCAUGGUCCUCGGGAGAUGCAGCAACGGGGGCCGCCGCACCACGCCGAGACGGCCGUCCGCAGCAAGUCGGGAGCUGUGGUGUUGAAGAGGCGCCUGGAAGCAAGUGGCGACGCUGCUCCGGUCAGGGCACGAGGAUCUGUUCGCCGUCGUCGAGAAUCCACUCAAGCUCACGCAGACUACCACCGUCCUAGAGGGUUGGAUGCUACGUUUGAGACUUAGGGGGCGAGGCUGGGGAGGCUAAGGAGGAGACCAGAGAGCGGCGACCUCGAGUUGGAAGGAGCAAUGAUCGCCGAUAUCGAUAACAUGGCACUUUAUUUGAUUGGUUGGGUCACUCUCUCGCUUCUCCUCCAGUCGUGCCUCCGGUUGGCAUGUGCGCCGACAUGAAUGGCGAGGUUUCAUCUGGAUGGGGGCCGCAGUUUGGAGGUGUUGUAGAUGGGUGUUGGCGGUGCUAGGGUUCAGCUAACAAGUUUAUCGUAUGCAGACGCAAGUACAGAAGAGCACACGUUCAACUUUUGUUGCGCAGCCAUGGUU